UAUAAAAAAAAUUGUAUAAAAAAAACAGAGAAGUAUGAGGGAGAAAACUAAUUACCUAACUCAAAGAAUUGGACUGAUGUCAAAGUCUAUAUUUAAAGUUUGCAAUUCAAAACUCCAAUUGCUCUCUCUCUUGCUGAGAUUGAGAGUAUCAUUAACACCUCUCCAAUUGCUCACUACUUUGUGUAUGGCCAUAAACUGCAUUUCUUUAGGAUUAGAACUUUGAGCUUAUAAAAAAAAUGUUUGGACAGGCUAUGGUUGAUAAAACCUUUUUUUAUGUUUCUUACAUGUUCCCUUAUGCGGGUUUUAAGAGGCCUUGAUGUUUUUCCUAUAUAUUGGUACCUGCAUGUACAUUCUAGUAAGUAAAUAACGUUUUUUGAUUCGCAUGAUAUAAACGAUAAUACAUUAAAAUUAUUUUUAGUAAUAGAGGAUGUAAAAUGGUUAUGGUCUAAAAACUUUUGUUUUUGCCCCCAUUUUUCAUGAGCUGAACACAAAGAUCUAAGACCUUUUCUAUGUACACAAAAGGCACACCUGUGCAAUAAUCAUGCUGUCUAAACAGCAUCUUGAUAUGCCACACCUGUGAGGUGGAUGGAUUAUCUCGGCAAAGGAGAAGUGCUCACUAACACAGAUUUAGACAGAU